UUUUAUUUCAAUAGUCCUGCUUUAAAUUUCCAUACUUCUGCUUGAAACCCCCUUUCUCCUAUUGAGAAGGACUUCAAAGCCCUAUAAAAGCUUUACUAGUCCUCUCCUAGUAUAGACUGGAGAAUACCUAUAAACGACUGCAAGGGAAUACACAUAGCCAGAUGGAAUCCUAGAGCUUAGCACUCUUUUCUCGCUCGAAGAAAAGAAAGGAAAGACUUCAAAUGCAUUAGAUCCCUUAGGUGCUUACUAGGCAAGAGGGACAGAAGAAGUAUGCCCUUUUUCAAACAGUUUUCUUCCUCUUCUUUUGAGGGCGUAUUUAAAUUCAACAGUCCUUAGGGCAUCGCCUUUCAGGUCAGAUGAAUUAUCACGAGCGAGGAGAGAGAAAGUGCUCUAUUGAUUUGAUAGAUAGAGGCGCUAGGGAAGAAAACUAGACUCUACUCUCUCGAGAGAUUGACUUGCGAUCACAUUUUGAGUUCUCUGUAAGCCAUUGAAAGAAAGGUUGGUGAAUCCAUUGGAAGUUCCCUGAACUACCAAUUUGAAUACAAGACUAACUUGAGGUUCACGCCUAUCACUUGUAGGGCGGGCCACCAGCCACUUAUUAUUAUUAUUUUUUUUUUGGAAUUGCACCUCAAUAUAAUAAGUCGCAUAAACCCCGUCAAAUUGGCUGUAAUUCCCGAUAUUUCAUUCAGCUACAACAGAUGAAGUGGUAAGUCCGCUUAUCUAUUUCUCUUAUUCUAUUAAGCGAUAGCAGACUUUUUGGCACCCGACUCGGUGAAAGAGGUUGGGUUGUCUCGUCCAUCUACUGAGUCAGUGACAGAAGUGGUAUACUAUGCAGCAGCCAAUUCAGUAAUCAAUAAAGAAGACUCGGUUCCCCGGGCGGAUGGGAAAGGAGAUGAAGCAACAUCAGUUGUAUCAGCUACAGAAUCUGAUUCCGGUGAGGCUACAAGCCUAUCUGCGACUUGAGUUCUUCUUUAUUCUUGCUGUAAAGUGCCAUUUCCGCUCCCCAACGACAGAAGUACGAAUUAACUUACUAGUCUAGUUGCCAUUUCCAUUUUCUGCCCGUGUGGCAUGGGACAGUUUUGCUGUUAUUUACCCUAAAGCAGAGAAAGCUGGAUCAAAGGAUGCUUUUUAAAAGGCCGAUUUUUGCCUUGAUCUACGGCCAUGAAUUUCCUCCUGGCGAGGAGGGCCGAGCCGUGAAAGAAAGGGCAAAACGAGGUUACCAAACCUUUAUUGAAGAAAGGAGCUCCUGCCUGUAGCUUGUGGCUUUGUUAGUUGGCUUAAUAGCCUGCUUGGUCCGAUUGUUCAUGUUGCUGGUCCCGCUGCCCUUACCUACUCAAAUCCCGAAACGAAAAGAGUAGUUCCCGUUCCCUAUUCGUCCUGGUCCUUGUUCCUGGUCUCUGUGAAAAGUCCAGUCGAUGGGAAAGAAUUCAUGUUCAAGUCUUAUUACCGAGUGCGAGCUGCUUUCUGUGGAGGGUUCGAUUACGGGAAGGAAAUUGUUGUCACAAGGUAAGGGACCGCUUUCCUUUUAUGCUUCCCUACGUGGAAAAUUAUUCAAACCAGUUCUCCCUCUCCCUCCGGGAGAGUACAAUAGAAUUCCCUCUCCCUGCAGGUAUUCUAAAUGGUUAUUGUUUAUGCUCGUAUAGCAUAAAAAUUAUUCAUUGGGGGGGCCAUGAGAAAUCUACUUCGUACCUUCGCUUCGUCAUCAAAGCCUCUUCGCUACUCCGAACUCUACACCUAUUUAGUUCUGUCUUGUACUCUCUUUAUUUGCUUUUCUUUCUAGUGCUAUUUUCCUUGUUCAAGCCGGUAUUAAGUAAGUAAGUAGUAAGUAAGUGAAGUGGUGAAUUGGCCAUUGGAAAGGAGGAAUAGGGCUCAUUUCACGUAUAUCUAUUUAUUCGACUUUUUUCUUUUGUAAGGCAAACCGUUCUCUUUUGUUAUGUCAAAGCAACGGUUCUCUCUAACCUUUUCUUACUCGCCUUACUUGAAACCUGUCCAUUUUUCGUACCUUCGUAUCUAUAAUCUAAAAACUUCUCACCUCUGUGCCUUCUGUACUUCCCGGCUCAAGCAAGAGCCACAGUGACUGGAACAACAGGAAAGCCACCUUAAUCGGUCAAGCAAGCAAUUUGAAUAGGGAUUAUGAUAUAUAUGAUCAUGCAACCAUCUCCGCAAGUCAGACCCAAAAACCCCGUGUCCUGAGUAUCGGAAAGAAAAGGAAGCCAAACCUGCCUAGCCCAAAUACAGUCACGUAAUGCAUGAAGCGGAGUCUCGGGGGCCAUACCAUAUCUCUCACACAUUGGAGAAUCAGCCAUACCACGGUGAAAGCUCAUUCGUGGGCAGCCGCUGCCAUUCUAUAAGCCAAAGAAAGAAACGAUGUUUCUGUGCAAUUCGAAGCUGCCAAAUGAAUUUCCAAUGCGCACCUGCAUCAACUGGAUAAGGGACUUGAGUGAUGAAGUGGUAGGCAGACUUCGUGGAAUAAGAACCUGAAUAAGU
rnacentral:misc_RNA from 1 species